AAGCGAAAAUUGUGGAAAAGCCGAUUGUUAAAAAAAAAGAGGAUAAACAUGACAAGGUAUUGUAUAAUUUAAGUGAAUAACAAUUCUUUAUAUUACGAAUUGAUUUACAACAAAUAAAAUUAUCAACUUUGAAUUCAACCAACUAAUUAUAUGAUUUUACUAUCUUGCAGUAAAACAGGAAGAGGAAUGGAUCAUAUUCUCAUCGAAGCCUUCCUGUCUGUACCUGAAUGGUCUGCCCAUCCCCAAUAAUAAUUGAAACAGGAUAAAGGAAAUCCAAUGGGAAAAAUUAAAAUGUAAAGGUAAGUACCUACACAUUUGCCGUGAAAUAUAUUGCAUCCAAAAACUUAUCAAUUUAUAAAAUCCAAAAUAUUAAUUCUUGUUCUAAUUUAACAGAUUUUACCGAAUGAGCGCAUAUCAAGCGCUGUCAACCCGUAAUCAAAUUUUGGAAACAUAGAUUGAACGAAGAGGAUAAACACGAAAAGUUAAUCAGACUACAAUAAACAACCGGAAAAUGGGUCAUAUUCUCAUCGAAGCCGUCUUGUCUGUACCUGGAUAGAGUCUAUGAUCGAAAACAUUGAUUGAGAUAGGACAGAGGAAAUCAAAUCACGAGAAAUAAAGUUUAAAGAUUCCGCCAACUGACAUAAAGAACAGAACUUUCGCGAUUCCUUGAAAGGGUACUUUGGAAGAAAAUGACGCUAAGACACUCACAUGAAUCUGCCGAACUUCACUGAACAAAAAGGCUUUUCAAAACGGGAUACUUGCCUAGUUAAUUAUUAUAACUAUUACAUACAAUGUAAUAUAAAUUAAAUUGAAAUAAAAAAUUAUUUUUUUAAAUCAAAAUUCAAUAUUUAAUUUUUUUUAGUCAAACAAACUGGAUUUCCAGUUAGCAUGGCUAAACUUUAGUAAUCCAAGAAUUUUUAACAACUAUAGUCAUGUAAAUGAAAAUUUCUGUUCUCAUUCCUAAAAUUUAGUAAUCGAAGAAUUUAGAAUAAAUAGUUUUAUCAACAAAAACCUCUGUUGACAUUCCCAAACUUUAGUAAUAUACAGACGUAAAACAUUUUAUUAGCCAUAACUAAAUAUUCUGUUGAGAGAACUAAAAUUUUUCGUAAUGAGCAACUACUAAAAUUUUAGUAAAAAUUUCUUUACUAAAAUUCUCUACUAAAGUCCAGUCAGUGCCAGUUUUAGUAAUGAUAACUAAAAUCUGAAUUACAGUGUUCGUUUG